AUAAGGAAAUUAGCCCCGGGUGGU
rnacentral:siRNA from 1 species